AGUGAACGCUGGCGGUAGGCCUAACACAUGCAAGUCGAACGGCAGCACAGUAAGAGCUUGCUCUUACGGGUGGCGAGUGGCGGACGGGUGAGGAAUACAUCGGCAUCUACUUUUUCGUGGGGGAUAACGUAGGGAAACUUACGCUAAUACCGCAUACUACCUACGGGUGAAAGCAGGGGAUCUUCGGACCUUGCCCGAUUGAAUGAGCCGAUGUCGGACUAGCUAGUUGGCGGGGUAAAGGCCCACCAAGGCGACGAUCCGUAGCUGGUCUGAGAGGAUGAUCAGCCACACUGGAACUGAGACACGGUCCAGACUCCUACGGGAGGCAGCAGUGGGGAAUAUUGGGCAAUGGGCGCAAGCCUGAUCCAGCCAUACCGCGUGGGUGAAGAAGGCCUUCGGGUUGUAAAGCCCUUUUGUUGGGAAAGAAAAUCAGCAGGUUAAUACCCCGAUGUUCUGACGGUACCCAAAGAAUAAGCACCGGCUAACUUCGUG
rnacentral:rRNA from 1 species